CGGCAACGGGAUGAGUAAAGCGGCGAACGGGUGAGUAACGCGUGAGUAAUCUACCCUCUAGUCUGGGAUAACCUUCCGAAAGGUGGGCUAAUACCGGAUAAUGUCUUCUUGGGGCAUCCCAUGAAGAGCAAAGGGGGCGCCCGCAAGGGGCUCUCGCUGGAGGAGAAACUUGCGUCCGAUUAGCUAGUUGGUGAGGUAACGGCUCACCAAGGCGACGAUCGGUAGCCGGCCUGAGAGGGUGACCGGCCACACUGGGACUGAGAUACGGCCCAGACUCCUACGGGAGGCAGCAGUGGGGAAUCUUGCGCAAUGGGCGAAAGCCUGACGCAGCGACGCCGCGUGGGGGACGAAGGCCUUCGGGUUGUAAACCCCUGUCAGGCGGAACGAAUCCCCUGAGGACGAAUAAUCCUUGGGGUUGACGGUACCGCCAGAGGAAGCCCCGGCUAACUACGUGCCAGCAGCCGCGGUAAUACGUAGGGGGCAAGCGUUGCUCGGAUUUACUGGGCGUAAAGAGCGCGUAGGCGGCCAGGCAAGUCCGGUGUGAAAUUCCUCGGCUCAACCGAGGGCCCGCAUCGGACACUACUUGGCUUGAGUCCAGGA
rnacentral:rRNA from 1 species